rnacentral:rRNA from 1 species
UACGAAGGGGGCUAGCGUUGUUCGGAAUUACUGGGCGUAAAGCGCGCGUAGGCGGGCGUUUAAGUCAGGGGUGAAAUGCCGGGGCUCAACCUCGGAACGGCCUUUGAUACUGGACGUCUGGAGUUCGGGAGAGGUGAGUGGAAUUCCGAGUGUAGAGGUGAAAUUCGUAGAUAUUCGGAGGAACACCAGAAGCGAAGGCGGCUCACUGGCCCGAGACUGACGCUGAGGCGCGAAAGCCAGGGGAGCAAACGGG